rnacentral:rRNA from 1 species
GGCUGGAACUGCCAGUGUAGGGGUGAUAUCCGUUGAUAUUGGCAGGAACGCCAGAGGUGAAAACGAGCCACUGGGAUAUCUUUGACACUGAGGCACGAAAGUGUGGGGAGCAAAAAGGAUUAGAUACCCUUGUAGUCCACACCCUAAACGAUGCCGACUAGCUGUUUCGAGUAUCGACCCUCGGAGUGGCGAAGCUAACGCGUUAAGUCGGCCGCCUGGGAAGUACGGCCGCAAGGCUAAAACUCAAAGGAAUAGACGGGGACUCGCACAAGCGGUGGAUCAUGAGGUUUAAUUCGACACAAAACGAAGAACCUUACCAGGGCUUGAAAUGCUAGUGAAGGUUGUCCGAAAGGAUAGCCGUCUUUUCAAGGACGCUAGCACAGGUGCUGCAUGGUUAUCGUCAGCUCGUGGCUUGAGUUGUUCCCUUAAGUGGGGUAACGAGCGCAACCCUUAUUGCAUGUUAAAUCUGUCAUGCAAAACUGCCCCCGCCUAAGUUUUCAAUUUUUAAUUUAUUUAGCAUUUGCUAAUUAGAUUAAAUUUUUUAUUUGAAAAUUUAGGCGGGGGAGGAAGGAGGGGAUGACGUUAAAUCAGCAUGGCCUUCUGAUGUCCUGGGCGACACUCAUGAUACAAUGGUCGGUACAAAGGGUUGCCAAGCCGUAAGGCGGAGCUAAUCUCAAAAAACCGGCCCCAGUUCGGAUUGAGGGCUGCAACUCGCCCUCAUGAAGCCGGAAUCGCUAGUAAUCGCGGAUCAGCCAUGCCGCGGUGAAUACGUUCUCGAGUCCUGUACUCACCGCCCGUCACGUCAAGGGAGCCGGGAACAGCCGAAGUCUCGCCCUUUUGGCAUUAUUAUUUAGUGCUAAAAGGGCGGGAUCAAGCUGGGCUCGGUAACAGGGACGAAGUCGUAACAAGGCACCGGUAGCGGAAGCUGUCGGUG